rnacentral:rRNA from 1 species
UACGUAGGGUGCAAGCGUUGUCCGGAAUUAUUGGGCGUAAAGAGCUCGUAGGUGGUUUGUCGCGUCUGCCGUGAAAGCCCGGGGCUUAACCCCGGGUCGGCAGUGGAUACGGGCAGGCUAGAGGUAGGUAGGGGAGAAUGGAAUUCCCGGUGUAGCGGUGAAAUGCGCAGAUAUCGGGAGGAACACCGGUGGCGAAGGCGGUUCUCUGGGCCUUACCUGACGCUGAGGAGCGAAAGCGUGGGGAGCGAACAGG